rnacentral:rRNA from 1 species
CCUACGGGUGGCAGCAGUCGAGAAUCAUUCACAAUGGGGGAAACCCUGAUGGUGCGACGCCGCGUGGGGGAAUGAAGGUCUUCGGAUUGUAAACCCCUGUCAUGUGGGAGCAAAUUAAAAAGAUAGUACCACAAGAGGAAGAGACGGCUAACUCUGUGCCAGCAGCCGCGGUAAUACAGAGGUCUCAAGCGUUGUUCGGAAUCACUGGGCGUAAAGCGUGCGUAGGCUGUUUCGUAAGUCGGGUGUGAAAGGCCCGGGCUCAACCCGCGGACGGCACAUGAUACUGCGAGACUAGAGUAAUGGAGGGGGAACCGGAAUUCUCGGGGUAGCAGUGAAAUGCGUAGAUAUCGAGAGGAACACUCGUGGCGAAGGCGGGUUCCUGGACAUUAACUGACGCUGAGGCACGAAGGCCAGGGGAGCGAAAGGGAUUAGAUACCCCUGUAGUC